UUUGGCCUACGGGAGGCAGCAGUGGGGAAUAUUGCACAAUGGGCGCAAGCCUGAUGCAGCCAUGCCGCGUGUAUGAAGAAGGCCUUCGGGUUGUAAAGUACUUUCAGCGGGGAGGAAGGGAGUAAAGUUAAUACCUUUGCUCAUUGACGUUACCCGCAGAAGAAGCACCGGCUAACUCCGUGCCAGCAGCCGCGGUAAUACGGAGGGUGCAAGCGUUAAUCGGAAUUGCGGGGCGUGAAGCGCACGCAGUCGGUUUGUUAA
rnacentral:rRNA from 1 species